GAUGAACGCUGACAGAAUGCUUAACACAUGCAAGUCGAUGGGGAAGUGGUGCUUGCACCAUGGUAACCAUGGCGGACGGGUGAGUAACGCGUAAGGAACUUGCCUGCGGGACUGGGAUAACAGCAGGAAACUGCUGAUAAUACCGGAUAAGGUCAUUAAGCUGCAUAGCUUAGUGAUGAAAGGAGACGCCUGCGGAGAGCCUUGCGUCCUAUUAGCUAGUUGGAGGGGUAACGGCCCACCAAGCCGAAGAUAGGUAGCCGGCCUGAGAGGGUGGACGGCCACAAGGGGACUGAGAUACGGCCCUUACUCCUACGGGAGGCAGGAGUGGGGAAUAUUGGACAAAGGGGGCAACCCUGAUCCAGCAAUUCGGUGUGCACGAAGACGGUUUUCGGAAUGUAAAGUGCUUUCAGCAGGGAAGAAGGAAGUGACGGUACCUGCAGAAGAAGCGACGGCUAAAUACGUG
rnacentral:rRNA from 1 species